UACGGGGGGGGCAAGCGUUGUUCGGAAUUACUGGGCGUAAAGGGCGCGUAGGCGGCCGCCUAAGUCAGACGUGAAAUCCCUCGGCUCAACCGGGGAACUGCGUCUGAUACUGGCAGGCUUGAAUCCGGGAGAGGGAUGUGGAAUUCCAGGUGUAGCGGUGAAAUGCGUAGAUAUCUGGAGGAACACCGGUGGCGAAGGCGGCAUCCUGGACCGGCAUUGACACUGAGGAGCGAAAGCCGGGGGAGCAAACGGG
rnacentral:rRNA from 1 species